rnacentral:rRNA from 1 species
AUUGAACGCUGGCGGCAGGCCUAACACAUGCAAGUCGAACGAGUGGCGGACGGGUGAGUAAUGUCUGGGAAACUGCCUGAUGGCGGGGGAUAACUACUGGAAACGGUAGCUAAUACCGCAUACCAUCAGAUGUGCCCAGAUGGGAUUAGCUUGUUGGUGGGGUAACGGCUCACCAAGGCGACGAUCCCUAGCUGGUCUGAGAGGUUGACCGUCCACACUGGAACUGAGAAACGGUCCAGACGCCUACGGGAGGCAGCAGGGGGGAAUAUUGCACAAUGGGCGAAAGCCUGAUGCAGCAAUGCCGCGUGUAUGAAGAAGGCCUUCGGGUUGUAAAGUACGGUCAGCGGGGAGGCGUUACCCGCAGAAGAAGCACCGGCUAACUACGUGCCAGCAGCCGCGGUAAUUC